rnacentral:lncRNA from 1 species
AGGUUAAAAAUGUCCAAACCUAACAAAUAAAACAACACGAUGAAUGAAUAAUAAAAUAUAUAUACAUAUACAUAUGUGCGGAAUGUAAACACAAUCUGGCUACUUCAACUAGUUUUGUUAGCAUUUAAAGUACCAAAAAAUAGAUCGAUAAUAAUUCAUGUCCGUAUAUAACUUAUAAGAUGCAGUACUAAACUUGGUGGGGGCAUGAAGAUUCAUCAACCACAACUCUUUGUUUGUAACUACAGUUUUUUCUCGCUUUUCAAAAAAAAAAAACUACAGUUUUUUCUAAGUAACUACAAUUUUUUCUAAGUAACAUAUAUGCCUUGUCACUUUUCACAUCUAAAUAUAAGAGUUAGUGUUUCAAAAAAAAAAAAUAUAUAUAUAUAUAUAAGAGUUAAAGCACCAAAUUAACUGCCCAAAAUAUACCAUUCGAAGUUACAAAUGCUUAGCCAAAUGCAAUUGAGUUGGCACCUUAGAAUCUAUUGAUCACAUUACUUCAUCA